rnacentral:rRNA from 1 species
CAGCGUCACGAGUGGCAACCAUAUUUAUUGGGCCUAAAGCGUCCGUAGCCUGUUUGAUAAGUCUUUUGUGAAAUCGUUGAGCUCAACUUAACGUCGUGCAAGAGAUACUGUCAGACUUGGAAUUGGGAAGAGUCAGAGGUAUUCUGGGGGGAGCGGUAAAAUGCUAUAAUCCCUGGAGGACCACCAGUGGCGAAAGCGUCUGACUAGAACAACUUCGACGGUGAGGGACGAAAGCCAGGGGAGCAAAACGGAUUAGAGACCCGAGUAGUCC